rnacentral:rRNA from 1 species
UACGAAGGGUGCAAGCGUUAAUCGGAAUUACUGGGCGUAAAGGGUGCGUAGGCGGUUGUUUAAGUCUGUCGUGAAAUCCCCGGGCUCAACCUGGGAAUGGCGAUGGAAACUGGGCAGCUAGAGUGUGUCAGAGGAUGGUGGAAUUCCCGGUGUAGCGGUGAAAUGCGUAGAGAUCGGGAGGAACAUCAGUGGCGAAGGCGGCCAUCUGGGACAACACUGACGCUGAAGCACGAAAGCUAGGGGAGCAAACAGG